rnacentral:rRNA from 1 species
AUGUACAAGAUGCCAUGCGCUCCGUUCAUAGGAAUAAAUAACCACAAUCAGUCGUUGCAGUUCGGAUGCGGCCUCGUCCGGAAUGAAGACACAGAUGGGUACGUUUGGCUGUUCAAGACCUUCUUGGAGUGCAUGGAUGGACUUGCUCCGAUGAACAUAAUAACGGACCAAGAUUUCAGCAUGCGUGCAGGCAUAGAGGAGGUCUUUCCGUUGGCAGUGCACAGGCACUGCAGGUGGCACAUUAUAAAGAAGGCUGAGGAGAUGCUAGGACCGUUCUUUGCCGACCGUCCAGAGCUGCACAAGGCAUUCGAGCUGUGCGUGGACCACAGCUUGACGGUGGAGGAGUUUGAAAGGAGCUGGAUGGCCAUGACUGAAACACAUCAAGUCCAGGACAACGAGACUCUUGUUAGCCUGUGGGAGAAGCGAAUGUACUGGGUGCCGGCCUACUUCAUGCAGUGCUUCUUCCCCUUUCUGCAGACUACGCAGCGCAGCGAGGGGUUCAAUGCUGUUUUAAAGCGGUACGUCAGCCCUGGCAACUCAUUGCUAGAGUUUGCCAAGCAGUACACAGCUUUGCAACAAAAAAUUCUGGGAUCUGAGCUACAGCAAGAAGCGACCACAGCCCUAAAGCAGCCAAAAUUGCUAACGUAUUUACCGAUGGAGAGGCAAAUGAGCAAGAUAUACACCAACAAGAUCUUUAACAAGUAA